UGCUGCAAAACACAGGUCCAAGUACUGCAAAACACGAGUACAAGUACUACAAAACAGCUACAAAACACAGGCACAAAAGUACUACAACACACGGGUAGAAAACACAAGUACAAAUACUGCAAAAACAGGUGCAAGUACUGCAAAACACAGGUACAAGUACUGCAAAACACGAGUGCGAGUAGUACAAAACACAGGUAAAAAACACAGGUAUAAGUACUACAAAACACGGGUACAAGUACUGCAAAACACAGGUACAAGUACUGCAAAAACAGGUACAAGUACCGCAAAACACAGGUAAAAAAUACAGGUACAAGUACUGCGAAACACAGGUACAAGUACAGAAAAACACAGGUAUAAGUACCACAAAACACAGGUACAAGUACUGCAAAACACAGGUACAAGUACUGCAAAACACGGGUACAAGUACUGCAAAACACAGGUACAAGUACCACAAAACACAGGUAUAAGUACUGUAAAACACAGGUACAAGUACUGCAAAACACAGGUACAGGUACUGCAAAACACGGGUACAAGUACUACAAUACAGGUACAAGUACCACAAAACACAGGUAUAAGUACUGUAAAACACGGGUAAAAGUACUGCAAAACACGGGUACAAGUACUGCAAACUAUAAGUAACACAACUCAGGUAAUAAUAUCGCAGUAAACAGGUACAAGUACUGCUAAACGUGGGUCCUGUAUUUUUCUUUUUGGUACCUUCUG